rnacentral:rRNA from 1 species
GCCGGUGUUGUGGGAUCACGUGUCCCGGUUCCGACGGGCCGGGCGGGAGUCAUAAAACGGCUUGCCAGGGGAACAGGCUUGAAGGCCUGGCCGUAGAGGGUGCCAGCCCCGUACCUGGACGUGAGCCGUCUUCCGAUCGUGUUGUCCCAAGUAGCGCGGGCCUCGUGGAAUCCCGCGUGAAUCAGCCCAGACCGUUGGGUAAGUCUAAGCAUACCUGUCUGACCGAUAGCGUACCAGUACCGUGAGGGAAAGGUGAAAAGCACCCCGGGAGGGGAGUGAAACAGUUCCUGAAACCGUGCGCCCACAAACCGUCGGAGCCUCUGUGUGGGGUGACGGCGUGCCUAUCGAAAAAUGAGUCUGCGAGUCAGUGGCGGGUGGCGAGCAUAAGCCGUGUGGCGUAUGCGUAGCGAAAGCGAGUCUUAAAAGGCGUUUUUUAGUCGCUUGUCCUGGACCCGAAGCGGGAUGAUCUAGCCCUGGGCAGGUUGAAGCGCGGGUAAGACCGCGUGGAGGACCGAACCCACCUGGGUUGAAAACCGGGGGGAUGACCUGGGGCUAGGGGUGAAAGGCCAAUCAAAUUCCGUGAUAGCUGGUUCUCUCCGAAAUGCAUUUAGGUGCAGCGUCGGUCGAUUGCGUCGCGGGGGUAGAGCUACCGGAUGCUUGCGGGCCCUUGUUGGGUACCAACAGCAGCCGAACUCCGAAUACCGUUGACGUGUAUUCCGGCAGUGAGUCGGCGGGGGAUAAGCUCCGUCGUCGAGAGGGAGACAGCCCAGACCGUCGUCUAAGGUCCCGAAGCGUGUGCUAAGUGGGAAAGGAUGUGGAGUCGCAUAGACAGCCAGGAGGUUGGCUCAGAAGCAGCCAUCCUUGAAAGAGUGCGUAACAGCUCACUGGUCUAGUGGUUCCGCGCCGACAAUGUAGCGGGGCUCAAGCACACCACCGAAGACGCGGCAGCAAUCUUCAUGGUUGCUGGGUAGGAGAGCGUCCUGCGAGGGGCGAAGCGGCCGGGUAACCGUGCCGUGGACUUCGUGGGAGUGAGAAUGCAGACAUGAGUAGCGAGAGACGGGUGAGGAUCCCGUCCGCUGGAUGACCAAGGGUUCCGGGGCCACGUUCGUCGUCCCCGGGUGAGUCGGGUCCUAAGGCGAGGCCGACAGGCGUAGUCGAAUGGAUGAACGGGUGGAUAUUCCCGUACCGACCAUGGACCGGCAAAACCGAGACGGUGAGUACUAACCUCCGCCUCGUGGUGGUUCCUUCCUUCGGGUUGGUGUCGCCGCGUGGUGUUGGGACUGUAGCCGUAGUAGGUCAGCGCAGGGGUGACACGGAAUGGGAGCCGGCCGCGGAGGUGGUUUUCCGUGGUCAAGCACGCAGCCAGUCAUGUAGGCAAAUCCGCAUGGCGCGCAUGGCGAGGUGUGAUGAUGGGAGCCUUUUGGGCUCGAUAUCCGGUUGUCCAGGCCGUCGAGAAAAGCCUCGGCGUGAGGGCCAUGGCCGCCCGUACCCCAAACCGACACUGGUGGUCAGGUAGAGAAUACCAAGGCGAUCGAGCGAAUCCUGGUCAAGGAACUCGGCAAAUCACUCCCGUGCCUUCGGUAUAAGGGAGACCCGCUGGGGUGAACCGGCUAGCCCGGGGAGCUUUGGUGGGUGGCACAGACCAGGGGGUAGCGACUGUUUACCAAAAACACAGGUGCAUGCGAAGGCGAAAGCCGCUGUAUAUGCACUGACGCCUGCCCGGUGCCGGAAGGUUAAGAGGAUCCGUCAGUCCUUCGGGAUGAAGCGGUGAAUUCAAGCCCCGGUAAACGGCGGUGGUAACUAUAACCAUCCUAAGGUAGCGAAAUUCCUUGUCGGGUAAGUUCCGACCUGCACGAAUGGCGUAACGACUUCCCCACUGUCUCGACCAGGAGCUCGGCGAAAUUGCAGUACGAGUAAAGAUGCUCGUUAAGCGCAGAAGGACGAAAAGACCCCGGGACCUUUACUAUACCUUGGUAUUGGCGUUAGGCGCGGAUUGUGUAGCAUAGGCGGGAGGCUUCGAAGCGUGGGCGCCAGCUCAUGUGGAGCCGCAAGGUGAAAUACCGCUCUGUUCUCGUUUGACGUCUAACCUCGACAAGUCAUCCUUGUCAGGGACAGUGCCUGGCGGGUAGUUCAACUGGGGCGGUUGCCUCCCAAAGAGUAACGGAGGCGCUCAAAGGUCCGCUCAGCCCGGUUGGCAAUCGGGUGUCGAGUGUAAUCGCACAAGCGGGCUUGACUGCGAGGACGACGGUCCGAGCAGGGACGAAAGUCGGAGAUAGUGAUCCGGUGCCGGCGCACGGGCGCGGCAUCGCUCAACGGAUAAAAGGUACCCCGGGGAUAACAGGCUGAUCAUUCCCAAGAGUCCAUAUCGACGGG